CUCCCCCAGAUUUCCGUGGACUCUGGAAAUACUUUUGCAGUUUCCUCUCCAAUCCAGAACAGCGCCUGGAAACCUGGACCAGGACCCGUUGAGAACCCUAAUCACUGGGAUAAGAUGAAAGACCAGAACUUCUUUUGGUAGAUUUACCUCCAGGCCAUCAGGAACACAAGCAAGUAAAAGACAAGUUUUGUCAGACCUAUGCUAACUUCACAAUAGAGAAGCAGCAGAACCCACAAAAAGACAGAGUGAAACAAAUUUCCA